UACGUAGGGUGCAAGCGUUAAUCGGAAUUACUGGGCGUAAAGCGUGCGCAGGCGGUGAUGUAAGACAGAUGUGAAAUCCCCGGGCUCAACCUGGGAACUGCAUUUGUGACUGCAUCGCUGGAGUAUGGCAGAGGGGGGGUAGAAUUCCACGUGUAGCAGUGAAAUGCGUAGAGAUGUGGAGGAAUACCGAUGGCGAAGGCAGCCCCCUGGGCCCAAUACUGACGC
rnacentral:rRNA from 1 species